rnacentral:rRNA from 1 species
UUCCGGUUGAUCCUGCCGGACCCGACUGCUAUCGGGGUGGCGCUAAGCCAUGGGAGUCGCACAUCCCACCGCCGUGGGGUGUGGCGAACGGCUGAGUAACACGUGGCUAACCUACCCUCGGGACGGGGACAACUCCGGGAAACUGGAGCUUAUCCCCGAUAGGCGGGGAGUCCUGGUAACGGUUCUCCGCCCAAAGGGAUGGGAGGGGGUUAUCGCCUUCUAUCCGCCCGAGGAUGGGGCUGCGUCCCAUCAGGUUGUUGGCGGGGUAACGGCCCGCCAAGCCUAUAACGGGUAGGGGCCGUGAGAGCGGGAGCCCCCAGAUGGGCACUGAGACAAGGGCCCAGGCCCUACGGGGCGCACCAGGCGGGAAACCUCCGCAAUGCGGUAACCCGUGACGGGGUCACCCCGAGUGCUCCCCUUAUGGGGAGCUUUUCCCCGCUGCAUGAAGGCGGGGGUAAUAAGUGGGGGGCAAGACUGGUGUCAGCCGCCGCGGUAAUACCAGCCCCACGAGUGGUCGGGACGGUUAUUGGGCCUAAAGCGCCCGUAGCCGGCCCCAGCAAGUUCCUUGCCUAAAUCACCGGGCUCAACCCGGUGACUGGUGGGAAAUACUGCUGGGCUAGGAAGGCGGGA